rnacentral:rRNA from 1 species
UACGUAGGGGGCUAGCGUUGUCCGGAAUCAUUGGCGUAAAGCGCGUGUAGGCGGUCCGGUAAGUCCGCUGUGAAAGCCAGGGGCUCAACCCUUGGAUGCCGGUGGAUACUGUCGGGCUCGAGUACGGAAGAGGCGAGUGGAAUUCCCGGUGUAGUGGUGGAAUGCGUAGAUAUCGGGAGGAACACCAGUGGCGAAGGCGGCUUCCUGGACCUGUUCUGACACUGAGGAGCGAAAGCGUGGGGAGCGAUACCGG